GCUUCUAAAGCGACGAGUGUAGCCUUCCUUCUUCUCUUAUGCUCCCGAGACUCGAAUGAUGAAUGUCUAGCAGGGACAUGUGAGACUCUCUGCUCACUAGGCUCAGGCCUGUGCUUACUUGGCUCAGGCUCAUCAAAUCUCCUCGUUGGCAUCUCUAGAG
rnacentral:sRNA from 1 species